ACUCCGGCAUGAGAUUGAUGGCGGAUAAAUUUUUCCGGCAUGGGAUUGAUGGCGGAGAAAAUAUUACAAUUGUUAUUAAUAAAUACUAUUUUUGAGCAGACAAACUAUAGAAGUAUUUUUCAUCGGUUGAACAUUUUUAUAAUAUGACAAUCUAUUCUUUUGUGUUCUUUUGGUUCAUGGAGAACCACAUCCAACCCCGCACAUACACAUGCUUUAUAAAAAAAAAAAAUUGUCAAGUUCGCUCACACAUUUAUAAUCUAAUCCUCGCCGAGUCGCCGGACGGCUGCCAGAAAUACCACCUCUACUGCUCACCAUCGCUACUCAUAUACAUGUGUGCGCCACUGUAGCAUAGCAGUGGAAGCAACGUAGAUUGUUUUUAUUCAUUAUCUUGUUAAAAAAAAAAAGUUGUAGUGUUGUGCCCUAGUAUAUAAGGCAAUGGAAAAUCAUAUCAAUAAACAAAGAAAAUAAUAAAAAAAGCCAUAUUGUGCCCAGGGCUAAUAUUAAAACACUCAGAAUAAAUGAAUUCUGUUUGGAUAAAUUUGUGGUUCAGCAAAAUGGCAGCAGCCGACUCACCAACGGACGACAGUCUUUAUCCAAUUGCAGUUCUGAUCGAUGACUUAUAAAAUGAAAAUUUACAACUGCGAUUAAAUUCAAUCAAAAAACUUUCAACGAUUGCCUUGGCACUUUGUGCUGAACAUACUCGUUGUGAGUUGAUACAUUUUGUUCCAUUGGUACAACGUUUGGCAUCUGGUGAUUGGUUUACGUCAAGAACAUCGACAUGUGGUUUAAUAAGUGUAUCUUAUCCACGUGUAAGUACAGCAACAAUAGCUGAAUUAAGAAAUCAUUUUUGUAAUUUAUGUCAAUUGACAUCUUAAGAUGAUACACUAAUGGGGCGACGUUCAGCAUCAUCGAAAUUGGGAGAAUUUGCGAAAGUUGUUAAAAUUGAGUAUUUAAAAUCUGAUUCAAUUCUAAUGUUUGUUAUACUUGCACGAGAUGAACAAGAUUCUGUUCGUUUAUUAGCUGUUGAUGCAUGUGUUAGUAUAUUGCAACAUUAUUACAACGAGAAGAUGUUGAACAACGUGUUAUGCCAAAAUACGUCAAUGUGCUGCUGAUUUAUCAUGGCGUGUACAUUAUAUGAUUGAUGAUAAAUUUAUAGAUCUUGGAAAAGCAGUUAAUUAUAAACGUACCACAUUCCGAAAAUAUAAUUUUAGUUUUUCUGAGUCAUUAAAUGUGAUGGUUAGUUUAAAUAAAUAUAUUUGAUAAAAUUGAUGAACAUA